UUCAAAUCCCCCAACAGUUCUUUAAUUUAGAAUGCAUUACAGUUGGUAUUUAUAUGAGUUAACUGACAGCUGUAAGAAAUCAGCAUUGGGCUGUUGUGUAAGUUGAUUGAUAUUUGCAGACAAAAAGGCCUGAAGGACAAAGCCUAGGAAGAGAGAAAAGUGCCUUGUGAUCAUUUCUGCUUCUUCUUUCUUGAAACAUGGGCCCUGUGGGAAGUAGAAUCCUCUUUAUCUUCACAAGUUCUACAGACAUUUUUAACCAAAGGGAACUGUCAUUCCCAUGGAUACUACUAAAUUAAAAUCUUUUGAGUGCAUAUCUUUGUUGUUUGGAAGGCACUGUAGUUUUCUGCAUUUAAUACAACCAUCACAUCUGGAAAGAGGAAUAUGUGGACAAUCUUAUCUUCAACAAGAUAUCAUUUUGGGAGAAGUCUAAGAAGGAGGUGGCAGAGUUCCAAGUGAUCCAUUCAAAACAGAAGAAAGGGAGUCACUGGUUUUUCAAAGACUAAAAAGAUCAGAGACUUCAGAACAUUGUUCAGUAGCCUUAUCUAGUGUUUUAUAAUCUCUUGCUAAAUCCUUCUUUAUGGUCAAUCAAACAUUUCUUGUAUUCUACCUGCAAAUCCUUCUUGCUUUGAGAAAAUUUCUUGUGUUUCUUUUGUUGAUAUUGAAAGAAAGCAACAUUUUCACCAUAGGAAAUAUUCAUCUGUUUUAAUUAUUUUUCUACUUAUAGCAUAAACCAAUUCAACCUUACCUAUAAUAAAUUAUUUUUCUUUUAAAUCA
rnacentral:lncRNA from 1 species